rnacentral:rRNA from 1 species
UACGGAGGGUGCUAGCGUUGUUCGGAAUCACUGGGCGUAAAGCGUGCGCAGGCGGUCUUGCAAGACAGAUGUGAAAUCCCCGGGCUUAACCUGGGAACUGCAUUUGUGACUGCAAGGCUGGAGUGCGGCAGAGGGGGAUGGAAUUCCGCGUGUAGCAGUGAAAUGCGUAGAUAUGCGGAGGAACACCGAUGGCGAAGGCAAUCCCCUGGGCCUGCACUGACGCUCAUGCACGAAAGCGUGGGGAGCAAACAGG